AAUAUGACAGAACUGUGGGGACACGUGCAGAGAGCGGAAGCCGGGAAUGGGAUCCCGGUGCAAGCGAGGUACCAGCCGCAUUGGAAAAACCGUGCGGCAAUGGGAAGACGUGAUGCGGAGUGAAGUUUAGUAAUGAAGUCCGUGAGCUGUGCGUCAAGAAAAGCCGCUAUUGUUCAUACCAUACCCGUACCGUAAACCGACACAGGUGGAUGAGGAGAGAAUCCUAAGGCCGGCGGAAGAAGCAUUGUCAAGGAACUCGGCAAAAUGACCCCGUAACUUCGGGAGAAGGGGUGCCUGCGAGAGCAGGCCGCAGAGAAUAGGCUCAAGCAACUGUUUAGCAAAAACACAGGUCUAUGCGAAACCGAAAGGUGAGGUAUAUGGGCUGACGCCUGCCCGGUGCUGGAAGGUUAAGAGGAGAGGUUAGCGCAAGCGAAGCUUUGAAUUUAAGCCCCAGUAAACGGCGGCCGUAACAAUAACGGUCCUAAGGUAGCAAAAUUCCUUGUCGGGUAAGUUCCGACCCGCACGAAAGGCGUAAUGAUUUGAGCGCUGUCUCGACAAUGCAUCCGGUGAAAUUGAAGUACCAGUGAAGAUGCUGGUUACCUGCGCCAGGACGGAAAGACCCCAUGGAGCUUUACUCCAGUUUGGUACUGGGAUCCGGUACUGCAUGUACAGGAUAGGUGGGAGGCUAUGAAUCGGUAACGCCAGUUGCCGAGGAGCCGCUGUUGGGAUACCACCCUUGCAGUAUUGGGUUUCUAACCAGCCGCCGUGACCCGGCGGUGGGACAAUGCCAGACGGGGAGUUUGACUGGGGCGGUCGCCUCCGAAAGGGUAUCGGAGGCGCCCAAAGGUUCCCUCAGGAUGGACGGAAACCAUCCAAAGAGUGCAAAGGCAGAAGGGAGCUUGACUGCGACACCGACGGGUGGAGCAGGUACGAAAGUAGGGCUUAGUGAUCCGGUGGUAUUAAGUGGGAAUGCCAUCGCUCAACGGAUAAAAGCUACCCUGGGAUAACAUGCUUAUCACUCCCAAGAGUUCACAUCGACGGAGUGGUUUGGCACCUCGAUGUCGGCUCAUCGCAUCCUGGGGCUGUAGUAGGUCCCAAGGGUUGGGCUGUUCGCCCAUUAAAGCGGUACGCGAGCUGGGUUCAGAACGUCGUGAGACAGUUCGGUCCCUAUCCGGCGUGGGCGUAGGAUAUCUGAGAGGAGCUGUCCUUAGUACGAGAGGACCGGGAUGGACGGGCCGCUGGUGCACCGGUUAGACUGCCAAGUCUAUAGCCGGGUAGCCAAGCCCGGAAGGGAUAAACGCUGAAGGCAUCUAAGCGUGAAGCCCCCCUCAAGAUGAGAUAUCCCAUCCGAAAGGAGUAAACCCCCUUGAAGACGACGAGGUCGAUAGGGCAGAGGUGGAAGUGUGGUAACACAUGGAGCUGACUGCUACUAAUAGGGUGAGGGCUUGACC
rnacentral:rRNA from 1 species